UCCGGGUUGGACCCGGCAGUCCCGCCAGAAAAGGUAACUGGCAGCGGGGGUUGCGCUCGUUGCGGGACUUAACCCAACACCUCACGGCACGAGCUGACGACAGCCAUGCACCACCUGUGCUUCACCCUCGAAGGCGACCACCUUUGGGUGGCUUGCAGAAGCAUGUCAAGCCCUGGUAAGGUUCUUCGCGUUGCAUCGAAUUAAGCCAUAUGCUCCACCGCUUGUGCGGUCCCCCGCCAAUUCCUUUGAGUUUCAACCUUGCGGCCGUAGUCCCCAGGCGGUUCACUUAAUGCGUUAGCUGCGGCACCGAGGGUUACCCCCCAACACCUAGUGAACAUCGUUUAAGGCCAAGACUAC
rnacentral:misc_RNA from 1 species